rnacentral:rRNA from 1 species
GUUUAAUCUCAACUCGGGUAGGACUACCCGCUGAACUUAAGCAUAUCA